UUUGGACUCUUUGGUUUCCGCCACGAGCUUUCUUCUUUCAUUUGCUGGCGGUGGUGAUACAUGUUCGUUUGUCGCUGGUGAUAUCCGUUGAAAUCUCUUGGUUUUUCAUAACUACUGGAGAAUUAGGUAGUUUACUUCAACAGGAAGCAUGAGAGCAAAGUGGAGGAAGAAGCGUAUGCGGAGGCUUAAGCGGAAGAGGAGGAAGAUGAGGGCGAGGUCGAAGUAGGUUGCUGGCCCCCACGCUCUGCUGGAACUCCAUAACAUCUGAUCAGCACUGCUCAUUGUGUUGUGUGGCUGCAGCAGAGACUUUUGUAUAAAUUUGUUGGGACAAUAAAUGUUUCAACAAAAGCUUUCUUGUUAAUUCUGCUCCUUUAACCUGAUCCUGUCUAGUCUUAAGAACCCUAUUAAAACAGUGAAAAGUAGCUUCAUGUUACAGAUAAUUCAACUAUGUUCAUUUCACAGAAUGUUGUAAUUGAG